rnacentral:snRNA from 1 species
GGAUGUGAGGGCGAUCUGGCUGCAACAUCUGUCACCCCAUUGAUCGCCAGGGUUGAUUCGGCUGAUCUGGCUGGCUAGGCGGGUGUCCCCUUCCUCCCUCACCGCUCCAUGUGCGCCCCUCCCGAAGCUGCACGACGUCCCAGGUAUAGAAGGAGUGUACCGAGGUCUCCAGUCUUCGGUCCCGGGUAUACGAUAG